GGGCCGAUGGUGUAGUUGGUUAUCACGCUUGUCUUACAUUUAUGUGCACAAGCGGUCCUGAGUUCGAACCUCAGUCGGCUCA